GUCUACGGCCAUACCACCCUGAUCUCGGAAGCUAAGCAGGGUGGGGCCUGGAUAGUACUUAGAUGGGAGACUUUCUGGGAAUACGGGGUUCUGUAGGCU
rnacentral:rRNA from 1 species